UGUACGCAAGAGUGAUAGGGGAACUCCGAGUGCACUUGCUCAAGCAAGUGAUUUUUACUAAUGUAAAUUCCUGUUAGAAUAAGAGCUGGGUAAGACCGGUGCCAGCACCCGCGGUAAA
rnacentral:rRNA from 1 species